rnacentral:rRNA from 1 species
GAUGAACGCUGGCGGCGUGCUUAACACAUGCAAGUCGAACGGAAAGGCUCCUGCUUGCAGGGGUACUCGAGUGGCGAACGGGUGAGUAAAACGUGGGUGAUCUGCCCUGCACUUCGGGAUAAGCCUGGGAAACUGGGUCUAAUACCGGAUAGGACGAUGGUUUGGAUGCCAUUGUGGAAAGUUUUUCGGUGUGGGAUGAGCUCGCGGCCUAUCAGCUUGUUGGUGGGGUAAUGGCCUACCAAGGCGUCGACGGGUAGCCGGCCGGAGGGGGUUUACGGCCACGUUGGGCAAGAUAUCCGCCCCGGACCAGCGGGGAAGCAAGCAGGGGGAAUAUUGACAAAGUGGCCGAGGGCGGGAUGCACCGACCCGGGGGGGGGAAGGACGGCUGCCGUUUGGAAACCCCUUUUCGACGGGAAGGAACGAAAGAGCACGGACCGUAAAUAAGAGGCACCGACUAACUAGGUC